rnacentral:rRNA from 1 species
AUUGAACGCUGGCGGCAGGCUUAACACAUGCAAGUCGAGCGAGCGGCGGACGGGUGAGUAAUGUCUGGGAAACUGCCUGAUGGAGGGGGAUAACUACUGGAAACGGUAGCUAAUACCGCAUACCCUCAGAUGUGCCAAGAUGGGAUUAGCUAGUAGGGGGGGUAAUGUCUCACUUAGGCGACGAUCCCUAGCGGGUCUGAGAGGAUGACCAGCCAACCUGGAACGGAGACACGGUCCAGAUUCCUACGUGAGGCAGCAGGGGGGAAGAUUGCACAAUGGGCGCAAGCCUGAUGCAGCCAUGCCGCGUGUGUGAAGAAGGCCUUCGGGUUGUAACGCACUUGCAGCGAGGAGGCGUUACUCGCAGAAGAAGCACCGGCUAACUCCGUGCCAGCAGCCGCGGUAAUAC